rnacentral:rRNA from 1 species
UACGAAGGGGGCUAGCGUUGCUCGGAAUUACUGGGCGUAAAGGGCGCGUAGGCGGACAGUUUAGUCAGAGGUGAAAGCCCAGGGCUCAACCCCUGGAAUUGCCUUUGAUACUGACUGUCUUGAGUACGGGAGAGGUGUGUGGAACUCCGAGUGUAGAGGUGAAAUUCGUAGAUAUUCGGAAGAACACCAGUGGCGAAGGCGACACACUGGCCCGUUACUGACGCUGAGGCGCGAAAGCGUGGGGAGCAAAC